rnacentral:rRNA from 1 species
GGGUCAGUAGGUUGGUCGUGCCACCGGUACGUACUGGUCUCACUGAUCCCUCCUUCCUGAAGGACCGUAAUGCCAUUAAUUUGGUGUUGCGGGGUAACAGGACUGUUACUUUGAAAAAAUUAGAGUGUUUAAAGCAAGCUAACGCUUGAAUACAUUAGCAUGGAAUAAUGAAAUAGGACGAUCGAUCCUAUUUUGUUGGCUUCUAGGAUUGACGUA